rnacentral:rRNA from 1 species
CGAUGAGUAGGGCGGGACACGUGGUAUCCUGUCUGAAUAUGGGGGGACCAUCCUCCAAGGCUAAAUACUCCUGACUGACCGAUAGUGAACCAGUACCGUGAGGGAAAGGCGAAAAGAACCCCGGCGAGGGGAGUGAAAAAGAACCUGAAACCGUGUACGUACAAGCAGUGGGAGCACAGGUUUACCUGUGUGACUGCGUACCUUUUGUAUAAUGGGUCAGCGACUUAUAUUCUGUAGCAAGGUUAACCGUAUAGGGGAGCCGGAGGGAAACCGAGUCUUAACCGGGCGUUAAGUUGCAGGGUAUAGACCCGAAACCCGGUGAUCUAGCCAUGGGCAGGUUGAAGGUUGGGUAACACUAACUGGAGGACCGAACCGACUAAUGUUGAAAAAUUAGCGGAUGACCUGUGGCUGGGGGUGAAAGGCCAAUCAAACCGGGAGAUAGCUGGUUCUCCCCGAAAGCUAUUUAGGUAGCGCCUCGUGAAUUCAUCUCCGGGGGUAGAGCACUGUUUCGGCUAGGGGGCCAUCCCGGCUUACCAACCCGAUGCAAACUGCGAAUACCGGAGAAUGUUAUCACGGGAGACACACGGCGGGUGCUAACGUCCGUCGUGAAGAGGGAAACAACCCAGACCGCCAGCUAAGGUCCCAAAGUCAUGGUUAAGUGGGAAACGAUGUGGGAAGGCCCAGACAGCCAGGAUGUUGGCUUAGAAGCAGCCAUCAUUUAAAGAAAGCGUAAUAGCUCACUGGUCGAGUCGGCCUGCGCGGAAGAUGUAACGGGGCUAAACCAUGCACCGAAGCUGCGGCAGCGACACUGUGUGUUGUUGGGUAGGGGAGCGUUCUGUAAGCCUGUGAAGGUGUGUCGUGAGGCAUGCUGGAGGUAUCAGAAGUGCGAAUGCUGACAUAAGUAACGAUAAAGCGGGUGAAAAGCCCGCUCGCCGGAAGACCAAGGGUUCCUGUCCAACGUUAAUCGGGGCAGGGUGAGUCGACCCCUAAGGCGAGGCCGAAAGGCGUAGUCGAUGGGAAACGGGUUAAUAUUCCCGUACUUGGUGUUACUGCGAAGGGGGGACGGAGAAGGCUAUGUUGGCCGGGCGACGGUUGUCCCGGUUUAAGCGUGUAGGUGUGUGUUCCAGGUAAAUCCGGUUCACUUUAACACUGAGGCGUGACGACGAGGCACUACGGUGCUGAAGCAACAAAUGCCCUGCUUCCAGGAAAAGCCUCUAAGCAUCAGGUAACAUCAAAUCGUACCCCAAACCGACACAGGUGGUCAGGUAGAGAAUACCAAGGCGCUUGAGAGAACUCGGGUGAAGGAACUAGGCAAAAUGGUGCCGUAACUUCGGGAGAAGGCACGCUGACACGUAGGUGAAGUGAUUUACUCAUGGAGCUGAAGUCAGUCGAAGAUACCAGCUGGCUGCAACUGUUUAUUAAAAACACAGCACUGUGCAAACACGAAAGUGGACGUAUACGGUGUGACGCCUGCCCGGUGCCGGAAGGUUAAUUGAUGGGGUCAGCGCAAGCGAAGCUCCUGAUCGAAGCCCCGGUAAACGGCGGCCGUAACUAUAACGGUCCUAAGGUAGCGAAAUUCCUUGUCGGGUAAGUUCCGACCUGCACGAAUGGCGUAAUGAUGGCCAGGCUGUCUCCACCCGAGACUCAGUGAAAUUGAACUCGCUGUGAAGAUGCAGUGUACCCGCGGCAAGACGGAAAGACCCCGUGAACCUUUACUAUAGCUUGACACUGAACAUUGAGCCUUGAUGUGUAGGAUAGGUGGGAGGCUUUGAAGCGUGGACGCCAGUCUGCGUGGAGCCGACCUUGAAAUACCACCCUUUAAUGUUU